CGGGAUUUGAGACUUUUAAACUUUAUACGUCAUCAAUAAUGUAUUACGAUGCUAAAAAAGCAAACUCUAGGAAUGCAUAUUCUAUGGACUCUCAGUACUUUUCCCAUGAAGCUGACGAGAGAAAGCACUCGGUAAUAAAUUUAUAUGAUAAAGUAGAAGCUUUGAAAUUGCAAGCUAACGGUAUUGGCUCAGAAUUAAGAAGACAGAAUGAAUGGAUCGAUACUCAUUCGGGAGACUUCGAAAAAGCCCGGAAUUUUCUUAAAAGUUCAAUUACUCGUGUAAAAAAAUUAUCAACAAAGGGAUGUGGAAUCUAUUGCUACUUAUUAGUAUUCUGUGUUUUCUUGUUUUUAGUUCUUUACCUUGUAAAA